UUUAUUGCAGAUGGAAUCAGUCUCUGCAUGCCUGUCCCUGACCUCGCACUUCACACUCUCAGUUUUAAUUUUGGUUGCUGUUACUACUGAUAUCUGAGCCAAAGUGGUGCUAACUGAGGGAAUCUCUGCAACUUGUAAGUCAACAAUUACAUGCUCUCAGAGAAUUGGACGAUGACCACUCAACCCCCCACAAUGCCAGGAGAUGGACUCAGAUGGACGAUAAAAAGCCAAGGAAACCGAGUUUGACUUCCUUCCCAAUUUUGAAAGCAAAAAAGAAGCAAAAUUUCACCUCUGUGAAGCAAUGUCCUGCAAUAAUUCUGAACAAGUAUUCAAGAACAUUUCCAGAAAAUGUGUUUCCCCUAACACAGAGACCAUCUCUUUUUACUCUGCCUCAACUAACUGAAGGCAGAGCACUGAAGGACUGCCCAACAUGGUAGCCACUGGCCAUAUGAGGCUAUGGAGCCCUUGGUGUGUGGCGGGUCCAGAUGGAGAUGUUCUGUGAAUGUGAAAUAUACAGCAGAUCUCGAAGACUUGGAUGAGUGUAAAAUAACUUAUUAAAUGUUAUUUAAGAAUUGGGUGAAUUUUAUAACAUAUCAAUUAAUACCU